GACGAACGCUGGCGGCGCGCCUAACACAUGCCAGUCGAACGAGCGAGCGAGAGCUUGCUUUCUCGAGCGAGUGGCGAACGGGUGAGUAACGCGUGAGGAACCUGCCCCAAAGAGGGGGACAACAGUUGGAAACGACUGCUAAUACCGCAUAAGCCCACGGCACCGCAUGGCACAGAGGGAAAAGGAGCAAUCCGCUUUGAGAUGGCCUCGCGUCCGAUUAGCUAGUUGGUGAGGUAAUGGCCCACCAAGGCGACGAUCGGUAGCCGGACUGAGAGGUUGAACGGCCACAUUGGGACUGAGACACGGCCCAGACUCCUACGGGAGGCAGCAGUGGGGAAUAUUGCACAAUGGGGGAAACCCUGAUGCAGCGACGCCGCGUGGAGGAAGAAGGUCUUCGGAUUGUAAACUCCUGUUGUUGGGGAAGAUAAUGACGGUACCCAAAAAGGAAGUGACGGCUAACUACGUA
rnacentral:rRNA from 1 species